CUUUGACUUAUGUCAUAAAACAAACAUUAUAAACCCGUACAUCUUGAAUCUACCGUAUUUUAACAGUACCUGCCCUACAACAAAACCCACCUUUUGAAGAGUGAUACCCAUUUACCCGUAAAGUUAUGACACUUUAUUGCUUAUUCAAUUUUUAUUUUUAUUUUUUUUAUUGAGCACAUGCAUCACCAGUUGGGAAACCUUGGCCUAAAAUAAGCACAUACCCACCCUUAUAAUAACCACUGAGCACAUGCAUUAGCAGUUGGGAAACCUUGGCCUUAAAUAGGCAAAUACCCACCCUUGUAAUAAUAGACAACUCAAACCAUGUUUUAUUAGAUUAACCAAUGAUAUUGUGUUCAUGUGAGGAUGUGUUUUGGAGCUUAAUAUAGUAUUAGACACCAGAAACUCAUAACACCUAUGAAUCAUGGCACAGACCGACACGAUUUCUGUAGCCUCUGGCUGGUCUGUGUGCCUGGAAUUUUCACAAACAUUAGUCCUGGAAACUGGAUACUCUGUUCUUCGACAGUCUCAUAGAACAUACGCAUGGAGACAGGGAUGAAUGAACUUUUGUGUGUUUGUGGUCACAUUGUUUUGUUUCUUCUUUCUUUAUACCAUUAACCACCUUGACGUAACAGUGUCCUGCUCCUGAUGCAUUUGUUCCGACUCUCACCACUCUUAGCUGCAAUAUUUUUUCUCCUUACAGCAACAGUUGAGCAUAGUGUCCAGUGCUGCUUCUUCUUCAGCUUAAAAUAUCCUUGCUUGAAAGUUCUUGAAUGAAAACACAGGCAAUGACGAACACAAACAUAAAUAAUAACUGUGCCAAUCAUCACAAGUACCAUUUGAUUGUGGUGUCUUAACCAUAUUUUUUCCUAUGGCGUUUGGAUAAAUACCUACACACCUCUCUUCACAUCCAGCACACUCCUGAUUCACAGAUAAACACAAUAUCACUGCUGUAUCUACCAAUUUAACCCAAACACUCGUUAUUACUGCUGCAUUUACCAAUUUAAUCUAAACACU